rnacentral:rRNA from 1 species
UGGCGGACGGGUGAGUAACGCGUGGAUAACCUGCCGUAUACAGGGGGAUAACAGGGAGAAAUUCUUGCUAAUACCCGCAUAGGUAUGUCUGACGCAUGUUGGACAUAUUAAAGCUUUGGCGGUAUAAGAUGGGUCCGCGUCUGAUUAGCUAGUUGGUGGGGUAAAGGCCCACCAAGGCGACGAUCAGUAGCCGGCUUGAGAGAGUGGAGGGCCACAUUGGGACUGAGACACGGCCCAAACUCCUACGGGAGGCAGCAGUGGGGAAUAUUGCACAAUGGGGGAAACCCUGAUGCAGCGACGCCGCGUGAAGGAAGAAGGUCUUCGGAUCGUAAACUUCUAUCAGCAGGGAAGAAGGAAGUGACAGUACCUGAGUAAGAAGCCCCGGCUAACUACGUGCCAGCAGCCGCGGUAAUACGUAGGGGGCGAGCGUUAUCCGGAAUUACUGGGUGUA